AGUGAACGCUGGCGGCAUGCCUUACACAUGCAAGUCGAACGGCAGCACGGGUGCUUGCACCUGGUGGCGAGUGGCGAACGGGUGAGUAAUACAUCGGAACAUGUCCUGUCGUGGGGGAUAGCCCGGCGAAAGCCGGGUUAAUACCGCAUACGAUCUACGGAUGCAAGCGGGGGCCCUGCGUCCCUCGCGCUAUAGGGUUGGACGGUGGCGGAUUAGCUAGUUGGUGGGGUAAAGGCCUACCAAGGCGACGACCAGUAGCUGGUCUGAGAGGACGACCAGCCACACUGGAACUGAGACACGGCCCAGACUCCUACGGGAGGCAGCAGUGGGGAAUUUUGGACAAUGGGCGAAAGCCUGAUCCAGCAAUGCCGCGUGUGUGAAGAAGGCCUUCGGGUUGUAAAGCACUUUUGUUCGGAAAGAAAUCCUUGGCUCUAAUACAGUCGGGGGAUGACGGUACCGGAAGAAUAAGCACCGGCUAACUACGUG
rnacentral:rRNA from 1 species